rnacentral:rRNA from 1 species
UUGAAGAGUUUGAUCAUGGCUCAGAUUGAACGCUGGCGGCAGGCCUAACACAUGCAAGUCGAGCGGUAGCACAGAGAGCUUGCUCUCGGGUGACGAGCGGCGGACGGGUGAGUAAUGUCUGGGAAACUGCCUGAUGGAGGGGGAUAACUACUGGAAACGGUAGCUAAUACCGCAUAACGUCGCAAGACCAAAGUGGGGGACCUUCGGGCCUCAUGCCAUCAGAUGUGCCCAGAUGGGAUUAGCUAGUAGGUGGGGUAACGGCUCACCUAGGCGACGAUCCCUAGCUGGUCUGAGAGGAUGACCAGCCACACUGGAACUGAGACACGGUCCAGACUCCUACGGGAGGCAGCAGUGGGGAAUAUUGCACAAUGGGCGCAAGCCUGAUGCAGCCAUGCCGCGUGUGUGAAGAAGGCCUUCGGGUUGUAAAGCACUUUCAGCGGGGAGGAAGGCGGUGAGGUUAAUAACCUCACCGAUUGACGUUACCCGCAGAAGAAGCACCGGCUAACUCCGUGCCAGCAGCCGCGGUAAUACGGAGGGUGCAAGCGUUAAUCGGAAUUACUGGGCGUAAAGCGCACGCAGGCGGUCUGUCAAGUCGGAUGUGAAAUCCCCGGGCUCAACCUGGGAACUGCAUUCGAAACUGGCAGGCUAGAGUCUUGUAGAGGGGGGUAGAAUUCCAGGUGUAGCGGUGAAAUGCGUAGAGAUCUGGAGGAAUACCGGUGGCGAAGGCGGCCCCCUGGACAAAGACUGACGCUCAGGUGCGAAAGCGUGGGGAGCAAACAGGAUUAGAUACCCUGGUAGUCCACGCUGUAAACGAUGUCGAUUUGGAGGUUGUGCCCUUGAGGCGUGGCUUCCGGAGCUAACGCGUUAAAUCGACCGCCUGGGGAGUACGGCCGCAAGGUUAAAACUCAAAUGAAUUGACGGGGGCCCGCACAAGCGGUGGAGCAUGUGGUUUAAUUCGAUGCAACGCGAAGAACCUUACCUGGUCUUGACAUCCACAGAACUUAGCAGAGAUGCUUUGGUGCCUUCGGGAACUGUGAGACAGGUGCUGCAUGGCUGUCGUCAGCUCGUGUUGUGAAAUGUUGGGUUAAGUCCCGCAACGAGCGCAACCCUUAUCCUUUGUUGCCAGCGGUUAGGCCGGGAACUCAAAGGAGACUGCCAGUGAUAAACUGGAGGAAGGUGGGGAUGACGUCAAGUCAUCAUGGCCCUUACGACCAGGGCUACACACGUGCUACAAUGGCAUAUACAAAGAGAAGCGACCUCGCGAGAGCAAGCGGACCUCAUAAAGUAUGUCGUAGUCCGGAUUGGAGUCUGCAACUCGACUCCAUGAAGUCGGAAUCGCUAGUAAUCGUAGAUCAGAAUGCUACGGUGAAUACGUUCCCGGGCCUUGUACACACCGCCCGUCACACCAUGGGAGUGGGUUGCAAAAGAAGUAGGUAGCUUAACCUUCGGGAGGGCGCUUACCACUUUGUGAUUCAUGACUGGGGUGAAGUCGUAACAAGGUAACCGUAGGGGAACCUGCGGUUGGAUCACCUCCUU